GUGAAGUGACUUAGUGAAAACAAAGACUGGUCAUAGAGGGAAAGUGUUUCAGCUGUGUGAUCAAACAGCUCAGUCUGUAGAAAGUAUUCUGUGUGGUCUGUAGGCUCAUUUCUCUGAAGGCUCCUGAAGACUAACAAGCUAACAAGGAAAAGCAACGAUAAAAAGCUUGAAACAAGUGUUGACCUGUUGGAUGGUCACUACAACAUGAAACCAAAGUUAAGCUGAAAUGGUUCUGAGUAAAACCAUCAGAGACAGGUUUCUCCUGAGACCCUGGUCUAAAGAGCAGCUGCUCCACUGUGAAGGUUCUGAUGACAAAGCUAUGAUUCUGGUGUCCCCUGAUGUCAGCUUCAGUUUCUUCAUGGAUCAGAUGGACAGACAGACUGUAGAGACGUGUUCUGGCCUCAGUUACCCAGAAAUCCAGCCCUGCUACUAGAGCCUGCUUUGCCCCGCCCUAUAAAAGGAAGUGGAAGCCUUUACUUCCUGUUUGACAGUCUGACCUUUGACCUGACCUGGUUUGGAUGAAGGAAGCACAUGGAGCAACCCUUUGGGGCUUUAAGUGGAGCAGCAGGUGAAUGUCCAAACACUAAGUCAGCAGGACUAAAACCUGGGGACUCUUUAGUUGCUUCACUGGGAAACGAGGACACCAGCAGAGAAUCAGUGAGAUGUCUGCAUGUUUUGGUGACUGGGACCGAGUAACCACACAGGCUGGCCAGCAGAACAAGCUGUGCAGCGUUCCAGUCCUCGGGUCAGAACCAGCCUCUCCAUGGGUUGUUGGUGAUAAAGCACAGCGCUGCAGCAGGAGGCAAUGGACGAUGAGAGCGGCUCUGAGCUGCAGCUCCUUGAGUCGUGUGACGUUCUGUUUGUGUUGCUGCAGCUUUCUGAAUGGACCGUGUUUGUUCUGCUUCUUCUUCUUCAUGUGUAUUUAUGGAGCCACGCCUCAGUGAGAUAUAUUUAUGUACACUGGAGAAAAAUCUAAUAAAAUAAUGGAAAA